rnacentral:SRP_RNA from 1 species
AGUUUGUUAUUUUCUAAUACUAAAUUCUAAAUCAUGCCAGAACUGAAAAGGAGCAGCAUUAAAGAAAUUUUAGUAUAGUAGAUAAUAACAAGCUCUU